rnacentral:lncRNA from 1 species
UUUAAGAAAUCUUAACUCUUAUAAUGAUAAAUAUAUUAAGAACUUUUAAUAAUAUUUAAAACAUACAUAUAGCCAAAAUUCUUAGGGAUAAGAUUUGACAAUAAGAUUACAUAGUUGUUCUGUGGAAUGUCUCCUUAUUAAGAAUUCACAACAAGCUGGACUUUUAUCUAACUGUUUAGAGCGACGCAUUUUCGACGUUCGCCGUAGAGCCACAAUAAAAAAAGCAUCGAAAGUGAAGUGGACCAGUCGUCCGUUGAAUCCCUACAACGUUUGUCGUUCGUGACACUUUCGGUGUCGCGACGUGACUCGCAACACACAUCUGGUAUGUGUUCUACCUGAAUGCGCGUAAUUGUUUCGCAGCAUCACGGUUAAAAAUAUAACUCAAAUCAACAUGUGGAUUUUGAUAGUAAUUUAUAUACAGAUGCAUACCAUGCCGGUUACGGUGAAGGUGAAGGACCUUUCGGCAUACGAUUUACGCUUUGUUAUAGGUGCGGCGAGGCCGAAUCGCUUAAUAAAGCGAUUCAGGGUCUUCUCGUGUCUUCGGGACAACUAUUGCAUUUGAAUUUUUCUCUAUCAUAAUGGAGAGAUAUUCGGUUAUGCGAAGAGUAUUAACACUCAUAAGGCUCAUAAGGGAAAGCUUGGCCUCAGAAAGGCGGAUAAUACUCGCAAGGCCAACCGACGACGUUGCGCGUGUCGGUCAGGAACGCUGUCAUGGACUUAGAUCUUUUUUGUAACAACGUGAAGACGCAGACUGUUAUUAACGUCACGCUGAUAAAACGGGUAAAACUCGAUGAUGUAGCUUACCGUACACGCAAAUGCAGAGCAAUGCGAGCGUGGUCGCAACGAUCCACGAAACUUUGGCCGACAUCUCAGAAAUAUGCUGUUACCAAUCCACAAGGAACAACGUCUGCCAGUGCACUGUGCUAGUCCCUGA